GGUUAAGCGACUAAGCGUACACGGUGGAUGCCCUGGCAGUCAGAGGCGAUGAAGGACGUGCUAAUCUGCGAUAAGCGUCGGUAAGGUGAUAUGAACCGUUAUAACCGGCGAUUUCCGAAUGGGGAAACCCAGUGUGUUUCGACACACUAUCAUUAACUGAAUCCAUAGGUUAAUGAGGCGAACCGGGGGAACUGAAACAUCUAAGUACCCCGAGGAAAAGAAAUCAACCGAGAUUCCCCCAGUAGCGGCGAGCGAACGGGGAGGAGCCCAGAGCCUGAAUCAGUGUGUGUGUUAGUGGAAGCGUCUGGAAAGGCGCGCGAUACAGGGUGACAGCCCCGUACACAAAAAUGCACAUGCUGUGAGCUCGAUGAGUAGGGCGGGACACGUGGUAUCCUGUCUGAAUAUGGGGGGACCAUCCUCCAAGGCUAAAUACUCCUGACUGACCGAUAGUGAACCAGUACCGUGAGGGAAAGGCGAAAAGAACCCCGGCGAGGGGAGUGAAAAAGAACCUGAAACCGUGUACGUACAAGCAGUGGGAGCACGCUUAGGCGUGUGACUGCGUACCUUUUGUAUAAUGGGUCAGCGACUUAUAUUCUGUAGCAAGGUUAACCGAAUAGGGGAGCCGAAGGGAAACCGAGUCUUAACUGGGCGUUAAGUUGCAGGGUAUAGACCCGAAACCCGGUGAUCUAGCCAUGGGCAGGUUGAAGGUUGGGUAACACUAACUGGAGGACCGAACCGACUAAUGUUGAAAAAUUAGCGGAUGACUUGUGGCUGGGGGUGAAAGGCCAAUCAAACCGGGAGAUAGCUGGUUCUCCCCGAAAGCUAUUUAGGUAGCGCCUCGUGAAUUCAUCUCCGGGGGUAGAGCACUGUUUCGGCAAGGGGGUCAUCCCGACUUACCAACCCGAUGCAAACUGCGAAUACCGGAGAAUGUUAUCACGGGAGACACACGGCGGGUGCUAACGUCCGUCGUGAAGAGGGAAACAACCCAGACCGCCAGCUAAGGUCCCAAAGUCAUGGUUAAGUGGGAAACGAUGUGGGAAGGCCCAGACAGCCAGGAUGUUGGCUUAGAAGCAGCCAUCAUUUAAAGAAAGCGUAAUAGCUCACUGGUCGAGUCGGCCUGCGCGGAAGAUGUAACGGGGCUAAACCAUGCACCGAAGCUGCGGCAGCGACGCUGAUGCGUUGUUGGGUAGGGGAGCGUUCUGUAAGCCUGCGAAGGUGUGCUGUGAGGCAUGCUGGAGGUAUCAGAAGUGCGAAUGCUGACAUAAGUAACGAUAAAGCGGGUGAAAAGCCCGCUCGCCGGAAGACCAAGGGUUCCUGUCCAACGUUAAUCGGGGCAGGGUGAGUCGACCCCUAAGGCGAGGCCGAAAGGCGUAGUCGAUGGGAAACAGGUUAAUAUUCCUGUACUUGGUGUUACUGCGAAGGGGGGACGGAGAAGGCUAUGUUGGCCGGGCGACGGUUGUCCCGGUUUAAGCGUGUAGGCUGGUUUUCCAGGCAAAUCCGGAAAAUCAAGGCUGAGGCGUGAUGACGAGGCACUACGGUGCUGAAGCAACAAAUGCCCUGCUUCCAGGAAAAGCCUCUAAGCAUCAGGUAACAUCAAAUCGUACCCCAAACCGACACAGGUGGUCAGGUAGAGAAUACCAAGGCGCUUGAGAGAACUCGGGUGAAGGAACUAGGCAAAAUGGUGCCGUAACUUCGGGAGAAGGCACGCUGAUAUGUAGGUGAGGUCCCUCGCGGAUGGAGCUGAAAUCAGUCGAAGAUACCAGCUGGCUGCAACUGUUUAUUAAAAACACAGCACUGUGCAAACACGAAAGUGGACGUAUACGGUGUGACGCCUGCCCGGUGCCGGAAGGUUAAUUGAUGGGGUUAGCGGUAACGCGAAGCUCUUGAUCGAAGCCCCGGUAAACGGCGGCCGUAACUAUAACGGUCCUAAGGUAGCGAAAUUCCUUGUCGGGUAAGUUCCGACCUGCACGAAUGGCGUAAUGAUGGCCAGGCUGUCUCCACCCGAGACUCAGUGAAAUUGAACUCGCUGUGAAGAUGCAGUGUACCCGCGGCAAGACGGAAAGACCCCGUGAACCUUUACUAUAGCUUGACACUGAACAUUGAGCCUUGAUGUGUAGGAUAGGUGGGAGGCUUUGAAGUGUGGACGCCAGUCUGCAUGGAGCCGACCUUGAAAUACCACCCUUUAAUGUUUGAUGUUCUAACGUUGACCCGUAAUCCGGGUUGCGGACAGUGUCUGGUGGGUAGUUUGACUGGGGCGGUCUCCUCCUAAAGAGUAACGGAGGAGCACGAAGGUUGGCUAAUCCUGGUCGGACAUCAGGAGGUUAGUGCAAUGGCAUAAGCCAGCUUGACUGCGAGCGUGACGGCGCGAGCAGGUGCGAAAGCAGGUCAUAGUGAUCCGGUGGUUCUGAAUGGAAGGGCCAUCGCUCAACGGAUAAAAGGUACUCCGGGGAUAACAGGCUGAUACCGCCCAAGAGUUCAUAUCGACGGCGGUGUUUGGCACCUCGAUGUCGGCUCAUCACAUCCUGGGGCUGAAGUAGGUCCCAAGGGUAUGGCUGUUCGCCAUUUAAAGUGGUACGCGAGCUGGGUUUAGAACGUCGUGAGACAGUUCGGUCCCUAUCUGCCGUGGGCGCUGGAGAACUGAGGGGGGCUGCUCCUAGUACGAGAGGACCGGAGUGGACGCAUCACUGGUGUUCGGGUUGUCAUGCCAAUGGCACUGCCCGGUAGCUAAAUGCGGAAGAGAUAAGUGCUGAAAGCAUCUAAGCACGAAACUUGCCCCGAGAUGAGUUCUCCCUGACCCUUUAAGGGUCCUGAAGGAACGUUGAAGACGACGACGUUGAUAGGCCGGGUGUGUAAGCGCAGCGAUGCGUUGAGCUAACCGGUACUAAUGAACCGUGAGGCUUAACCUU
rnacentral:rRNA from 1 species